UUUCCCGAUGACUUUACCCUCACUGAAGCCUUUUGUCAUCUCUAAAACCUGUUGCUCUCUUAAAGGAACGCAAUCUGAAUUUCAUGCCUUCAUUUCUGAUAAAUGAAUGACAUUAGAAUUCAGACCAAUUAACCAAAUGUUUGGAAAUAUGUUAAGAGCAGAUUUGUUUCAAAGUGUGAGCAUGAAAUAGUAAGUGUUUGCUGGCAGUAUUUGUUACAGGGAUAGAGGCAGAUAGAGCUUGGGAUACAAUAAGUAAAUAUUAUUGAUGUUUAAUUACUUAUUUUUUUUUUGGUGUGUGUGCUGUUUGUUUUGUUUUGGUUUGGUUUGGGGAUUUUUUUCUCCAUGUAUUUAGUUUCUGUGGAAGGUAUUUGCAUUCUGUAGAAAGUUAGUUACUAUUUGAAACAGAGACUGCACCAGUGAACCUGUGCAACCAAGUUGUUCCAGAGCAGAAAUUAACCAGUAUUAAUUUAGAGUAGUAUUUCAGUAGGUCAAAACAGCAGUCUUUAGUUUUGCAAUAAGAAGAAAAAAAUAUAUUGUUCACCAUGUUAGAUGGAGCCAUUGAUUACAUUUUGCUCUAAUAGCUACUUUUUCUGCAUAGGUAAUAAGAAUUAUUUUUUAACACAUUUAUUGAAUACAUGAUCCAAAAUCACAGACGUAUAAACUUUACAUUUCCUCAAAGAAAUAUUUUCUACUAUAGAAUGCUGCGAGUUCAAAAUUGCUGUGGGGAUUUGUUGGGGGUUUGUUCUAAUGCUUUGUUUUAAUCGGGAAUCCAAACGCUGAAGUCAUUGUCCCCAGUUGGUUUUCGAUUGAUCAAUAUAGAUGCCAGUGAUCAAUGGCUGGACAAAGGGAGAAUGGGCAGGGCCCUUAGAUUUGCUCAGGCUAGGACUGGGGAGACAGAAAGGAAGAAUUUCCAUGACUCAGGGUAGAAAGAUGGGAUGCAGGAGCUGCAGGAGAGAAAGCCAACCAGCCAUGUGAGAAUUUGGGGUUGGGGGUGUGGUAGCCACUGGCCACUUCCUGGUUGGGCCUGGGUUAGCAAAAAAAUUUAGGAGUGCAGUGCCUUUAAGGUAGCCAAGGCAUUUUAAACAUAAUUGGUGUGUGUGUGUGUGUCUGUGUGUGUGUCUGUGUGUGUGUCUGUGUGUGUGUGUGUCUGUGUGUGUGUGUGUGUGUGUGUGUGUGUGUUUGUGUGUUCCAUUCUGGAACUGAGGUAGCUCCUGGGUGAGUGUGCAAGAGACUCACCAUAAGCCAAAGAUGUGGAGUUCAAACUUACUGACACAGGGAUUGCAUGAGGCAUCAACCAUCUACUGGUCAGUCACAAGCUGAUGCUUCCACGAAAAGGGACUACUAGUGACACACUCUGCCGAAACUGCAAUCUUCUACCUCUUAAUUAUAUCCACUCUGCAAACACCUCUUAAAACCUACGUAGCUUAUGAAAAUACAUGUCAAGGUGUGAAAGGUUCCGGGAGACUCUCUGGGGACUUGUGAAGGUGAGUAAGCCAUGACUGAUGUUUGCAAAGAAUUCACAGUUCAGAAAUGGCGCCAAGAAGAUCAAUAGGUACUUGGACUCCAACCUGGAAAAUACAAAUACGGAAGAGAAGAAAGGGAACAGCAUCUACAGGUGCUCUGCUCUCUGUUUCCAGCAUGGCUGCACUCCACAGCCUUUUGGCCCUGGUAUGUAGUAUUUUCUCAUAUUUCCAUUUGCUAAAGUGUCAAAUCCUCACUUCUACCCUAAACCGUGCUUUUAAUGGUAGGAGUGAGGAAAUACCUGACAGUAAAAUAUUCCCCUCCAGCCAAACACCUGCUUUUUACCUCCCACGUGGAAGAAUCACAGACUCUCAAUUUUGUUUUGCUUUCCCACAUCAAGAUUUCUACCCCAGGCCUUGCUGCCUGGGGAACCUGCUCCCUUGGUAAAAGGAACAUGGAUGCCAUCAACGGAAAUGUCUUGCUGCGUGGCACCAUUUUAUAUGAUGUGAAAGGAGCCUCUUCUUCCUGUGUCACUGUGACUUGCAACGUUCUGAAGAGUUCCAGUUAAAAAGCAAAGUUGGACUAUAGCGGUAAGGUAGAGGGCGUAUGUGCUGUUCUAGCUCAGACACACUCCCGGAGCCUGGAGAGGGUUUUCACAGAAUCUGCUGUUCAACAAUCUCCCUUUUCUCGUUUACCACUCUGGCCAACUCUUGCGUUCCCCAAUGCAGGCAAACAUCUGAUGACUAGGGACGUCCUGGAGCUUCGCACACAACAAGCAUACUUAAUGUACACAUGCAUGCAGAUGUGUUCAUCCCAACUCAUGCUCCCUCUACACUGCGCUGAUAGGUGACUGCUGGCUCAGAGCUCGGAUAAGUAGCAAAGUGGGGAUCAUUUGCUCUUUCCCCCUUGCAAAGACAAUAUUCUUGAGACUCGCUCGGUGGAGACAUUUUUCUUCUUAGCAAAGAAUUUGCUUCAUGCCUGGUAGAAGUCAAAAUCAUUUUCUCUGUUAUCUGAAUAGAAAAGGUGACAGAACAAUUUCUCUGUUGUUAUUGACCACAUGUGUUUCCAACUAAGCUUUACUUAAUCUCAUUAUGAAAAUACAUUUUUUUAAAGAAAAUCUAGAUUUUCAUUUCUUUAUUCACAGGAAUUUUAUACCCUGUAAAAAGGCUUCGAAUGAAAAAUACCCACAUGUAUUACUCAAGACAUGCAGGUGUUAUGGGUAAAGAAAACCGGAGAGUCAAUCUUUUAUGCUGACCAGCUGGAAAAUGUUGUUUUAGCUUUUGUCACACAACUAUGCACUUUUGCUUUUAUGAGUUACCCAAAUUCUUUUUUUUUUUCCUCUUUAUUUUCUAGAAAUUCUCUCAAACAUCAUGUCUUACGGGAAACACAUGGAAAACCAGGACUUUCCCACCCAGAGUAAUUUUAGACAUCUGAGCUUUGUUUCUCUCUUUUUCUUUUUCUUUCCCCUUCACAUGUCCAACUCCAGCUAGGUCCUCCCAAGCACCAAUGAAUAGUACUUGUAGAUUUCAGUGGACUUGUUGUUUUAAUAUCUUUUCCUACUGCAGAAGAAGCUGAAGACAGUCUAAACAAAGUUGAUCAUCAUCAACUGGUCAUUUACCAAGAAAUGAUAAAGAAUGCAAAACAGAGCUGCCUAGUCAGUGCAGUGGCCACAGGAAUUGCUUAGGUGGAUGAAUGAUCUGUACAACCUCUCUUACUUAAGAUGUGAGUGGAUGACCAGGUACCUCCCUAGUAUACACGUUUCCCAGAGGCACUAACAGGCUACACUGGUUCAUGUGGGCAUGCUACACUUUGCUUAAUGAAUCUCCUCCGACAUCUUGACCUUUUAACUUCCCAUCACAGUGAAAGGAAGAAGUGAUAACACACAUCUAUCCACCAAUAAAACUAUCAACUCUACCCCUCCUCCACUCCUAGCUGGCUAUACCUAACUCUGUUGGAAACUCCCUAAUUUUAUUACCAGCUACAACAUUGUAGGAUCUCAACAAGUCGGAUACCUCUGACCUUUCACGCUGUGGUCAACAGAUGUAGUCCCUGUCUGAGCUGCUGCUCAGGGACUGAACCGUAGCUUGUGCUUCCUCAUGUGGUUUUUCUACAAUGUCAACUUCUUGCUUUAGUUAUUGCCUUUUAAGAACCUUCUUUGAAUCUGUGUACACCCUUUCCAGCCUCCUUUAGGAAUGAAACUAGGCUCUUUAGCCCUUCAGGUGGAUUGGACAUCAAACUCUCAUAGGGAUAAAUAUGAAUCAUAAAAGAGAGUUUAGCUGUUCCUGCUGAGACAACUGAUCAAGAUCAAAAGCAUCCUCUAAGGUUACCUUUAGAAGGUACUAUGGUUAAAAAGAAUUGAUGCCGAGCAGAAGCAUUUUCAAAGGAUUUGAAGAAUGCACCUCCAAGGACCACUAUCUCUGAUCUGUAUGAGAAGUAUCAAGAAGAAAUUUAAAAUGUUGUAUUUUCCAUUCACAUUUUUUUUUAUGAUCAGAGUCCUCAAUGAUAUUAAAAUGAAAUUCCUGUCUAUGCAAGACCAACUUUUUGCAGCUCACCAGGGUGGUCAUUCACACCACUGAAGGCACAACCAAUCACACAGCAUUUCAAAAAGUGUUGGCUUAAUUAAUGUUUAAACCUCAUGAAUAUAAUAAUCUUUGCUAAGGAUUGAAUAACAGUUACUCACCAUUAUCAAUCUAAUUUUUCUUGUGUCUUCCUCAAAAUUGAAGAAAAGGAGCAAAACAUAUAGCUUAAGAGAAUGCUGAACUGAGAACUGGACCCCCUUUGGGGGAAUUAGAGGAAGGAUUGAAAGAGCUGAAGGGGUUUGCAACCCCAUAAGAACAGCAAUGCCAACCAACCAGAGCUUCCAGGGACUAAACCACUACCCAAAGUCUAUAGAUGAACUGACCCAGAGCUCGAACUGCAUAUGUAGCAGAGAAUAGCCUUGUUGGGGUACCAGUGGAAGGGGAAGCCCUUGGUCCUGCCAAGGUUGGACCCCCAGUGCAGGGGAAUGUCCCAAGGGGGGAGUAAAGGGGUGGGUUGGGAGGGGAACACCUGUAUGGGGAAGAGGAAGGUAUGGGGGCUUAUGGACAGGAAACCAGGAAAGGGAAUUACAUGAAAUGUCUGAGAGAGAGAAAGAGAGAGAGAGAGAGAGAGAGAGAGAGAGAGAGAGAGAGAGAGAGAGAGAUCUGUCAGUAUUUCAGGUUAAUAACAUGCCUUCUAUUCUAUCCUCCCCCUCUGGAUGAGAAUCAGUAUUACCUGUUUCUAACUAAGCAAAGUGCCAUGAACUAAUCUUCCCAACUACAUAGCUAGCAUGGUGUAUGUGACCCCAGGAUCAUUGGAGGAGAUAUUCAUGCAUCUCCUCAUGUGAGGGAAACCUUGAAAACCUGAAUAUUGCAGGUGUCUGGCAUAUCUGGUUCUAGAGUUUUAAAUAAAUUAUCUUUUCCCUUUUGAGGUUAGAAUAUAAUAAUGUCGUUUCUCCUUUCCAUUUUCUCCCCACAAACCCUUCCAUAUAACCUUCCUUAUUCUUUUUGUAACUCACGGCCUCUUUUGUUAGUUGUUGUUAUGUGCAAUAUAUUUCUUCGUCUAAAUAAAUGAGCACAACUUGUUCAAAACGUUACUUGGAUGAGUAUUUUCAGGCUUGACAAUUUGGUAUCGAAUAACCAAUAAUACUUUUUAUCACAAAACAAGCAGUUAAAAAGAUUAAAGCAUGGGGUUGGGGAUUUAGCUCAGUGGUAGAGCGCUUGCCUAGCAAGCGCAAGGCCCUGGGUUCGGUCCCCAGCUCCGAAAAAAAAAAAAAAGAAAAAGAAAAAGAAAAAGAUUAAAGCAAAAUCUAAAAGCACAACACUUCACUGCUUUCAAGAAGUCCUCCCAAGCAGGGUAACUGGUAUUGUUAGUGUUGAGAGAACACUUGAAUGAGAGCACAACAGUUGUAUGGCCAGGCAGACAACGAAGUGGGUCCAUUUACUAAGGAUAUGAAGCAAUGACUCAGUCUGCUUGGGAAGAAUGUGACUUGUGCUGUACAUCAUGAAGAGGGAGAUAAAAUUGUCAGGCAACUCAUCCAGUGUACAGUUCAUUUAUCAGUAACAUUGGGAAAAGUAGCACACUGGUGAAAUGUGCUAUAUGUAUAAAUGCAUAUAUGUGUGCAUAUGUACAUACAGGAAUGUGUUGGGACAAGCUUCAAAUUGGCAGUUCAAGAGACAAGGCCUAAACCUCUGUUUCCAAGAACUAGGCAAGCCCAAGCAAAUAGUUGUUAGAAAAAAAUCCAGGUUUCAGGCAACUCUUCAGAAAUUACCCAGCCAUCAGAAGUCUUCUGGCCACCUGGCCUGAGGCAAGGACGAUGGGUUAGGAGCAGUUUCCAGACCUCCCCAGCAACAGUUUCUGCCUCCCCUCCCCCUACCUCCAACAUCCCACCUCCCACCCCCAGACCCCAGCAAUGGUUCUGGAAUGUACUUAGAGAUAGAGCAAAGAUUAAGAUAGAGGUCACCUACCCCUACCCGAAAUUCCCUCAAUGUGUUUUAAAUCCGUUUAAGCUCCCUAUCUUGGUAAUGGGUGACCCCCGGCAUGGACUUCUGCAGAAUAAAACUACACUCUUUGCUUUGUGUUUACACACUAUGGAACUUUUCCAGCAUAUGCAUAUAUGAUAUCUCCUACUGUCCACUAAAAUAAACUAUUAGAGUUAACAAAGUUCAAGUGGUAUGUCAAAGAUGAAGUGAUUGAACGAAUCACACUUGAGAGGAAGUGUUGGUUUGAAGUUUACAGAAGCAUUCUUGUUUGAUUUGAAUUCACCAAAGGAAUUGUAUUGGUUACUCUGCCUAGCUUUGUCCCAGUAUUUGACAGGAACCAUGUGAGUAGGGGAGAGUAUUUGUUUUUGCACUCAGUUUGAAAUUACCAGGGCAGGUAUGAGUCUACUGUGGCAAGGAAGGUGUGGUAUUGAGCCCCUCAUUCAUGGAGGUAGGAACAGGGAACAGAGUCACACCACUACGGAUGAGAAAUCAGGAGGCAAGCAGGAACCAGGAACUGGGCACACCCUCCAAAGGCCCAAUCCUAGUGAUCUAUUUCCUUUAGCUAGGCUCCACUUCCUAAUCAUUCUUGUACCCCCCCCAUUAGGGUCAACAGCUAGAGAAUAGACAUUCAAAACAGAACCCUGAGGGUUUGGGAGGGGAGUUCAGAUCCAUACCUUAGGGGAAUUCUUUAACAUAUUACCCCCACACACUAUUGUGAAGAGAAAGGACUCAUAAGAGAGCAACAUGUUCAAUGAUGAACAUAGUGCCCUGAACUUGUUGAAACUUCCUUCCCAAAUACUCUGCAUGGGAUGAACAAGAAAACAC